AUACGUAGGUGGCGAGCGUUGUCCGGAUUUACUGGGCGUAAAGGGAGCGUAGGCGGAUAUUUAAGUGGGAUGUGAAAUACCCGAGCUUAACUUGGGAGCUGCAUUCCAAACUGGAUAUCUAGAGUGCAGGAGAGGAGAAUGGAAUUCCUAGUGUAGCGGUGAAAUGCGUAGAGAUUAGGAAGAAUACCAGUGGCGAAGGCGACUUUCUGGACUGUAACUGACACUGAGGCUCGAAAGCGUGGGGAGC
rnacentral:rRNA from 1 species